AAGUCGUAACAAGGUUUCCGUAGGUGAACCUGCGGAAGGAUCAUCAACAAAUCUAAUACUGCCUUCGGGCAAUAUACCAAUGUGAAUUGCUGGCACCUUAGGGUGCUGGUUGAUGUAUGCUUGUGAAAGCAUCAUAUUAACGAGUAUAAAGAGUCUGUUUAAAAAUUAUAAUCUAUACAACUUUUAACAAUGGAUCUCUUGGCUCUU
rnacentral:misc_RNA from 1 species